UGUAUAAUGGGUCAGCGACUUAUAUUCUGUAGCAAGGUUAACCGAAUAGGGGAGCCGAAGGGAAACCGAGUCUUAACUGGGCGUUAAGUUGCAGGGUAUAGACCCGAAACCCGGUGAUCUAGCCAUGGGCAGGUUGAAGGUUGGGUAACACUAACUGGAGGACCGAACCGACUAAUGUUGAAAAAUUAGCGGAUGACUUGUGGCUGGGGGUGAAAGGCCAAUCAAACCGGGAGAUAGCUGGUUCUCCCCGAAAGCUAUUUAGGUAGCGCCUCGUGAAUUCAUCUCCGGGGGUAGAGCACUGUUUCGGCAAGGGGGUCAUCCCGACUUACCAACCCGAUGCAAACUGCGAAUACCGGAGAAUGUUAUCACGGGAGACACACGGCGGGUGCUAACGUCCGUCGUGAAGAGGGAAACAACCCAGACCGCCAGCUAAGGUCCCAAAGUCAUGGUUAAGUGGGAAACGAUGUGGGAAGGCCCAGACAGCCAGGAUGUUGGCUUAGAAGCAGCCAUCAUUUAAAGAAAGCGUAAUAGCUCACUGGUCGAGUCGGCCUGCGCGGAAGAUGUAACGGGGCUAAACCAUGCACCGAAGCUGCGGCAGCGACACUGUGUGUUGUUGGGUAGGGGAGCGUUCUGUAAGCCUGUGAAGGUGUGCUGUGAGGCAUGCUGGAGGUAUCAGAAGUGCGAAUGCUGACAUAAGUAACGAUAAAGCGGGUGAAAAGCCCGCUCGCCGGAAGACCAAGGGUUCCUGUCCAACGUUAAUCGGGGCAGGGUGAGUCGACCCCUAAGGCGAGGCCGAAAGGCGUAGUCGAUGGGAAACAGGUUAAUAUUCCUGUACUUGGUGUUACUGCGAAGGGGGGACGGAGAAGGCUAUGUUGGCCGGGCGACGGUUGUCCCGGUUUAAGCGUGUAGGCUGGUUUUCCAGGCAAAUCCGGAAAAUCAAGGCUGAGGCGUGAUGACGAGGCACUACGGUGCUGAAGCAACAAAUGCCCUGCUUCCAGGAAAAGCCUCUAAGCAUCAGGUAACAUUAAAUCGUACCCCAAACCGACACAGGUGGUCAGGUAGAGAAUACCAAGGCGCUUGAGAGAACUCGGGUGAAGGAACUAGGCAAAAUGGUGCCGUAACUUCGGGAGAAGGCACGCUGAUAUGUAGGUGAAGUCCCUCGCGGAUGGAGCUGAAAUCAGUCGAAGAUACCAG
rnacentral:rRNA from 1 species